CCCCGUGUUGUAAUACCACUUUGUGACACUAGACGCUGUGUGAGUCAGCGGCGCGUCAAGUCUGCCCUCAGUCCCACGAAGAAGAACAACUUCCGGCCGCGCUUGAAGUUAGCGCCACAGAAACACAGGAAUGGCUGAACCUCCUAAAAGACGAUAUUCAUCUGCGUCCCGAAGGACCGCUCCCGACAAGAAACCACGUUCAACGGCAAAGAAAAGAAGCGACACGAGUAAAUCUGGAUGUGACUUCCCGCCGCUGGAGAAGCUGCUGAGAGGAAAGAGAUGCGGUUUGAUGCCGAGCUCGCAACUUUCCUGUUAGCCUGGACCUGAGCCAGUACAGGUGCAAUACCGCCUCCACCUGUCUCACCAACACCUGAGAGUCCAGACACAGUGAGGAGGGUCCAGGACCAGAAGUCCAGUCUACUCACCAGUGAUGGACCAGCACCAGCCUUUUCUUCUGCAUCUGGCCUCAGCAAUCAUCAACCACAUUACAUCAACACCUUGAGGGACGGCAGAAUCCACCUGGGGCAAGAAAAGUGACACUGGUUGAUGAUCGAAGCGCUCUGUGAAACGAAACGGCAUCCAGAUGAUAACGGGCUGGUCGCUGGUGGAUGAUAUUGGGAAGAGUGAUGAGUGGGAGGACGGAGAGAGAUGCUGUAGGAGUAAAAAACACAAGGGGGGGGUCAAAGGUCAACACAUCACACUGCUCGCGUUAUCCUGACAGUCAAACGCUGGAUGGUCUGAGGUAAUGUGUUUGAACAUGAACUGGCUGGGAGGAAUAUUACAGGAAACUCGUUGCAAUAAAAAGUCUCCUGAGCUGUGAACAAUGCUGCCGUUCAGUGUGAGGAUUCGACAGGAGGAAAACAAAAGAAGGAACGACGCCGACACCGUCGGCUCGAUACGUCUUGUCUGAAAGUCUCAUGUUUAGACGGUAAUAAUGAAAAUCUUUAAUAUGGAGCUUCUCAUAAGACGCACCGAGCACUUAAGGAGUAAAGAAACAAUAAAAUGAGCUGCAAAUCAAUGAGAGCAGGAUUUUAUCAAGAAACAUUUUUCUUUGACGAAACUUUGACAAUUGAUAAAAACCUAAAAGUUUUCCAGUCAAUUUAAAAUAUCUUCAUUUACCUUCAAAGUGCAUUUCCAGGUGAAACCAAUCCACAGCUUCAAACAGAAAAAUACUCAAACAUGUAGAGAGGGAAUUUAAGACGUAAAAACAAAACCAUGAUCAAUAAGUUUUGUGACUCAAAUCAUUAUUUUCUUUUUACCUUACAAACAGUUCCCAUAAAAACAGGAAGAUUCGUGUCCACAUGGAGUCAGAGUUAUAAUCAAGCCAUUUGUUUUGGCAUCUUUAAAAUGUACGCUGAAUUAGCUUUUAGCAUCUCCUGUUUGCAAUGUACACAUGGGUUUACAUACAACUCUCACUGGAUUCUUGUGAUACUGAAGAAAACUUAAAAACGUGAUGAUUCUCAGGCAAGAACAUCUUUUUUCUAUGUUGUCUAAGCAGAUUUAUGGACGUUGACUCAUGAUGGAGAUCAUGUUCUCCACAGGAAAGGUCGUGAACACAUCACUGACAUAUCGUCAUGACGAACUCGUGCGCCAGCAGAUCCUUCAUGUGGAGUGAUGUUGGUGACCACCGGAUGAAUCUAUGAUGAUUAUUCCCCCUGUUUGAGCUCUGGUUUUGGUCUCCACCAGCUCUAUCUAGCGCCACCUGCUUAUAUCCCAGCUGACACUGGGCGAGAGGCGGGGUCACGUUGCCACACCCGCGGGUGAUUCAGAGCCUCCGGUCAGCCUGACCUCCGUGUCUUUGGACUGUGGGAGGAAACCGAAGCGCCUGAAGGGAGAACCCACGCAGACACAGGGAGAACAUGCAAAGGUACAUGUGAGCUGUUCCUGCAGUGAGAAUGAACCAGAGCGGGAAAGUCUUAAACAAAGAGCUGGAGCUCACUGUGAAGCUCAGGGAAGCUGAGGGUUCAGCUGAUAAUUCUCCGGAGGUUCAUCACUACUUUGCAUUGUCUUCUCAUACAUUGUUAUAAAUAUUGAUUAUAGCCACUUGGGAGCAUCAGCACUGGACCUCACUGAUGCUGUUGUGGCUGAAUGAAUGAAGUAAAUCCCUGUAACCAAGGUCAAUAUGCACAUUACAGUUAGAGAAACUUCCCCAGGCGAUUACUUACAUUACAACAAUUAUUAUUUCUAAAAAUUAAAUAUACAAAUUAUGCAUUUUCUAAUUAAAUAUGCACUUUGGAUUUUUUUUCAUUUUCACCAUGUUUUGUUUUUAAGUAUAAAAUAUAUAAAUCAAGCCAUGAAUGAUAUAUGAACAAACCCCUAUGGAAGAACCUUCAGAAUAUAGAUAGGAAUAAAACUGAAAAGGUUGGUUGUUGUAAAAUUCCACAGAUUUCUAUUGGAAACUGCAAAAAGACACAACAUCUAAUCAAACCCACUGCAACAACAAUAUAGUUGCAUUAAAAUGUUAGCUUGUGAAUUUAGGGGACAAAUCUACAGACGCUAAAUAAACCGAGUGUAGUCUGAAAGAAGACGUGUUACGGAAGGAAAAAUAUCCCAAAUAUUUACCAGUACAUGAAAAGACGUUGGCGGCGUCUCACACGUCUCGCCUGAAACUGAUGUACACUUCCAAAAAAGUAUUUUUUAUUUGAACUCUCAUCUGGUUAUCUGGCUGUUGUGUGGGCUGUUGAAUAAAAAUGAUGAUUGCUCUUUGUGUAAUUUCCUCCCAUGCGGCUUUGAUUAAUUGAUUAGAGCUCAUUAAUAAGUCAUUAAAGAGUGGGUGAAGUGUGAGAGAUGGCUGACAGCUGGGACAGGGUUUUAUUGUGUUUCUGAGUCACAGAGCUGCAGCCAGUUUACUGCUGUCACACGCAGAGAGAGGCUCCGUCAAAGUUUGAAUAUCUGUGACACAUUUUACUCCGCAGUUUUAAAUUCUCAUGAUCUGAGGUUUUACACAGCUGUUUUCUUCAGGCUGAAGUCUGUCUUACUCAAACAGAGUUAUCAGGUGCUACAACCUGCAAUAAAAAAUCUAACCAG